UUUCAACCCAAUUUCCCCAAAUCACCCCAGCCCAUGCCUUUUCCUUAGCAGAGAGUCCAGAACAUCCUGUUGUUCCAAGACUUUUCCCAUAGUUCCAAACGCAGACAACAACGAGGAAGAACGACAGGCGUGAGUAGAAAACGUGAAGGUCCAUUGAUGGCGUUACAUGGGAGGUAUUCACAGCACCAAGGACGCGUGAUCCACACGUCCCAACGUCUUCUUCCUCUAUCUCAUUUUGUUUUAGACAGUACUUUUGGCUGCAGCUUUUGUGCAUUUCCAUCUGCUUGCUUCGUCCCCCUUAGCGUGAGAUCAUGCCACAUCGACACCAAGGACGGGAGAUCAAUCUUAAUCGUCCAUUCUCCUUUCCCUUUUCAAAAUAGAGUUAGAAUUUCAGAAAAAGGUUGCUUAUCCAAUUUAGUGAAAUUCUUUUUUUUUUUUUUGAGAAUUUGAAUUGGAAAAGAACCCCUCUCUCAUCAAUUUAUGAUAUGUUUCCCCCCAAUUCAAACCCUAAAUUCCUCUCUACAUAAAACUCCCUUUCAUCAUUAUGGAGAGGGGGGGGGGGGGCAGUCGAGAUACGGAAAAAAAAGAGUAAAAAUUUUCCAUAGAAGCAUCAUAAAUAUUAAUAAAAAAUUUUCAGAAACAGUGAGCUAAAAAGUUGAGUUAAAUAUUUAGAUAAUCUUGAGAGUCUAGAUAAGUGUUAAGAAGAGGAAGCCAUUUAAAUCCGAAGUUGUUGAAGAUAUUCCUUUAGUCUCAGUUUGGUUCACUCUAUUUCAUUCAUCCAAGUCUUCUCGGAGUCCCUCAUUCGGUGUGGAAGUUUCCACUCUUUCAAGCUCGUUUUGGUCUCUGUUAGCUGCCCGGAAAAGGGUAAAAACGUAGGAAAUAUAAAAUCCUCAGGAAUUGCAUGCUCAGGAGUUCAAAAAUCAUCCGUAUACAUGAUGUAUAAGUCAAAUAUACACAUAAUGUAUAUCAUGGAAAAUAAGGAAAAGAGGAGCCAAAAGCCCAAGGAUUUCGACAGGUCCAACAACUUGGGCCCAAGUUCAUUUUGAGGGCAUUUCAGUCUAAGACAGGUGGGCUGAAAGCCCAAUUUCGUCGAAUUUGGGCAAAUUGGCCCAAGUUCAAAUACUACUCUCCUAUUCCCUCAAUAUUUAUGUACUGUUAUUGACUAACAUUUUUGUUCCAAUUUAAUUAAUUGUCAACCGAUAGUUAUUUUUUUUAUUUUUUUAUAUUUAAUAAUAUACAGAUACUUAUACA